UACGUAGGGCGCAAGCGUUGUCCGGAAUUAUUGGGCGUAAAGAGCUUGUAGGCGGUUUGUCGCGUCUGCUGUGAAAUUUCGGGGCUCAACCCCGAACUUGCAGUGGGUACGGGCAGACUAGAGUGUGGUAGGGGAGACUGGAAUUCCUGGUGUAGCGGUGAAAUGCACAGAUAUCAGGAGGAACACCGAUGGCGAAGGCAGGUCUCUGGGCCAUAACUGACGCUGAGAAGCGAAAGCAUGGGGAGCGAACAGG
rnacentral:rRNA from 1 species